CCUACGGGGGGCAGCAGUGGGGAAUAUUGCACAAUGGGGGAAACCCUGAUGCAGCAACGCCGCGUGAGUGAAGAAGUCAUUCGUGAUGUAAAGCUCUAUCAGCAGGGAAGAAAAUGACGGUACCUGACUAAGAAGCCCCGGCUAACUACGUGCCAGCAGCCGCGGUAAUACGUAGGGGGCAAGCGUUAUCCGGAUUUACUGGGUGUAAAGGGAGCGUAGACGGCGAGACAAGUCUGAAGUGAAAUGCCAGUGCUCAACACUGGAACUGCUUUGGAAACUGCCUGGCUGGAGUGCGGGAGAGGUAAGUGGAAUUCCUAGUGUAGCGGUGAAAUGCGUAGAUAUUAGGAGGAACACCAGUGGCGAAGGCGGCUUACUGGACCGUAACUGACGUUGAGGCUCGAAGGCGUGGGGAGCAAACAGGAUUAGAUACCCGAGUAG
rnacentral:rRNA from 1 species